AGCUCCAAUAGCGUAUAUUAAAGUUGUUGCAGUUAAAAAGCUCGUAGUUGGAUUUCUGCCAGGGUGCCAAUGUCCGCCGAAGUGCGUGCGCAGCGGCGCCCUCGCAUCCUUCUGUUAACGCCUCUCGGCAUUUACUUGCCGGUGGUGGGCUCAGAUAAUUUACCUUGAGAAAAUUAGAGUGUUUCAGGCAGGCUAGGCCGGAAUACAUUAGCAUGGAAUAAUGGAAUAGGACUACGGUCUCGUUGUUGGUUUGAGGGACUGGAGUAAUGAUUAAUAGGGAUAGUUGGGGGCAUUAGUAUUUAAUUGUCAGAGGUGAAAUUCUCAGAUUUGUUAAAGACUAACUUAUGCGAAAGCAUUUGCCAAGGAUGUUUUCA
rnacentral:rRNA from 1 species